rnacentral:rRNA from 1 species
GGUUGCGAUCAUACCAGCACUAAUGCACCGGAUCCCAUCAGAACUUUGCAGUUAAGCGUGCUGGGACGAGAGUUGUACUAGGAUGGGUGACCCCCUGGGAAGUCCUCGUGUUGCAACCCCCUA